AAGAACCUGAAGCUGUUGAGUGUGAGAUCACUGGGAUGGACACUUUGCUUCAUGCCCCUAUCCAGGCAUUGGUGCAGCAGGCUGAGUGGCACAAUGCAGACAACACCAUUCAAAGAACAACUAGGCAUGACACAACAGUUAUCUUUUCAGAUGAAAAUGAAAUGGAUAUGACAGCUCCUCACACUGCAGUGAUUACACAUGGC